UGAGACUUUAAGUCUCCUGAAGGAACGUUGAAGACGAUGACGUUGAUAGGCCGGGUGUGUAAGCGCAGCGAUGCGUUGAGCUAACCGGUACUAAUGAACCGUGAGGCUUAACCUUACAACGCCGAAGGUGUUU
rnacentral:rRNA from 1 species